rnacentral:rRNA from 1 species
AACGUAGGAGACAAACGUUAUCCGGAGUUACUGGGCGUAAAGGGCGUGUAGGCGGUUAGUUAAGUCUGGCGUGAAAGCUCUCGGCUAAACCGGGAGAGGUCGUUGGAUACUGGCUGACUAGAGGACGGUAGAGGCGAGUGGAAUUCCUGGUGUAGCGGUGAAAUGCGCAGAUAUCAGGAAGAACACCUAUGGCGAAGGCAGCUCUCUGGGACGGUACUGACGCUGAGACGCGAAAGCGUGGGGAGCGAACAGG